UACGGAGGAUCCGAGCGUUAUCCGGAUUUAUUGGGUUUAAAGGGUGCGUAGGUGGCCUGUUAAGUCAGGGGUGAAAGACGGUAGCUCAACUAUCGCAGUGCCCUCGAUACUGAUGGGCUUGAAUGAACUAGAGGUAGGCGGAAUGUGACAAGUAGCGGUGAAAUGCAUAGAUAUGUCACAGAGCACCAAUUGCGAAGGCAGCUUACUAUGGUUUUAUUGACACUGAGGCACGAAAGCGUGGGGAUCAAACAGG
rnacentral:rRNA from 1 species